UACGUAGGGGGCAAGCGUUGUCCGGAAUUAUUGGGCGUAAAGCGCGCGCAGGCGGCCGAUUAAGUCUGGUGUUUAACCCCGGGGCUCAACCCCGGGUCGCACUGGAAACUGGUUGGCUUGAGUACAGAAGAGGAAAGUGGAAUUCCACGUGUAGCGGUGAAAUGCGUAGAGAUGUGGAGGAACACCAGUGGCGAAGGCGGCUCACUGGCUCAUACUGGACGCUGAGGUGCGAAAGCGUGGGGAGCAAACAGG
rnacentral:rRNA from 1 species